UCCAAUGAGCCGAAAUGGAUGAAAUACGGAAGUCCAGUUUCUGCCUUAAAACAUUUCCAGAAGCUGAUUGGUCCCAUUGGGGUACGAUUGGGCCUUCCGGAAAACACUGUUAAGCAUUCAUGAUUGGUCAAAAGAACAUGACAAUCUAUGAUUACCGAAUCAAGGUGGGACAAACUCAGUUCAGCAGAGGGAGUAAAAUAAGACGGAAGAGCGAGAUCGAAACCUAGCACCAUCUCAAAAGACUUCCAAGAAAUUACGUUUCGAAAGUGAGCUCAACCUCGGAUUCUGGAUUUAUUUUGUAUUACAUGAAGCUUGGCAAAUUUCCCUGGCACCCAAAAGUACUUUUUGCAUUUUGAAUGCAAAAA